AAACCAUCAAAUCCAAAAUCGUAAAAGCUUAUUAGAUUGUCGCUCAUAAUAAGUAUAUAUCCUCUAUUGAUUCUUAUUCCAAACAGAACUAAUAACAAAUAAAUUAAUAUUAUCUGUAAAUAUCUGUUAGGCAUUACUGCUGUUGCGCAGAACAGUAGUGCGUUCCAGUAUGAAUUAGGAUUAAUUUCAUACAGGUCUCUACAAAUAUAGUAAAUAAUAAAUAUAUCUCUACAAAGUUCAACUUUUAUAUUAUUUCUAUAAAAAUCUUGAUAUUUUUAAAUAUGUCCAUAUUGUUAGGAUUCAUUAGAAAAAAUUAGUUAACCAUAAGCAAAAUAAUAAACCCUAGUUAGUUAAUGAAGUGUAUUGAUAUUUUUAUCCCUCUUCAAUUAACAGUUUAAAUUUUUGAAGGGAUACAUAUAUGAUGACAAAAAGAUCAUUUCACUUAUAAAAUAAAUAAUGCUUUAACGGUAAUAAACUAGAGAGAGAUAUUUGAAAAAAUUAGAAUUCUUACAGAAACAACAUAUAAAAGUUUAACUUUAUAAAGGUAUAUUUAUAAUUUAUUAUAUUUGUAGUGACCCGUAUGAAAUUAACCCUAUAAGUUAAUAA
rnacentral:lncRNA from 1 species